GUGGGGAAUUUUGGACAAUGGGCGCAAGCCUGAUCCAGCAAUGCCGCGUGCAGGAAGAAGGCCUUCGGGUUGUAAACUGCUUUUGUACGGAACGAAACGGUCCUGGUUAAUACCUGGGGCUAAUGACGGUACCGUAAGAAUAAGCACCGGCUAACUACGUGCCAGCAGCCGCGGUAAUACGUAGGGUGCGAGCGUUAAUCGGAAUUACUGGGCGUAAAGCGUGCGCAGGCGGUGCUGUAAGACAGGCGUGAAAUCCCCGGGCUCAACCUGGGAAUUGCGCUGGUGACUGCAGUGCUGGAGUACGGCAGAGGGGGAUGGAAUUCCGCGUGUAGCAGUGAAAUGCGUAGAUAUGCGGAGGAACACCGAUGGCGAAGGCAGUCCCCUGGGCCUGUACUGACGCUCAUGCACGAAAGCGUGGGGAGCAAACAGGAUUAGAAACCCUGGUAGUCC
rnacentral:rRNA from 1 species